GCUUCUCGCUGGAGUGCGCACCGAGCGGCAGUGACUUCGCCGCUGCUGUAGUUCCCCGGCUGGAUGCGGUGACUGGUGCCAGUGCUCAGGCGCCCGCUGCCCUUGACCUCCCGCCCCGCGAGCCCUAACUCAGCGCAGGAGGACCGGCUGCCGCCGCCGCCGCCGCCAGGAGGUAGAUUGGGAAGUGGAGCUGGCCGUGGUCAUUGGAAAGAAAGGCAAGCACAUCAAGAUCCACACAACUUAAAGAUCUGCUGUCGAGUGAAUGGGGAAGUGGUCCAGAGCAGCAACACCAACCAGAUGGUAUUCAAGACAGAGGACCUGAUAGCCUGGGUGUCCCAGUUUGUUACCUUUUACCCAGGGGAUGUCAUCCUGACUGGGACCCCCCCACCUCCACCCAGGUGUCGGUGUAUUCAGGAAACCUCCUGUCUUUCUCAAGGUCUCUGAAGGUCCAGACAGCACUGAUGGCGAGCUUUGGGUCCGCACACUCUGGAAAGAAGAGAGAAGUGAAGGCUCUAGGUAGGGAGAACAGAGAGCCACUGGGCACAGGCUUCUCUCCUCUUGUUUAAAGAAGCCCAGGGAGGGAUAGAGCUCUGACUGGACAGAAGACUGUACUCUGCAGCCUGCCUUCCUAGAGUUGGGUUGUCACUGUCCUGCAGGGGGCAGCAGCCACCAGCAAACACCACUGCCUGCAGGAGCCUGGGCUGACUGGUUGGGACUCACCGAAGAUCCCUUCUUCCUGGGCGGUGGCCUGCAGGAACUGGAACAGCUGCUCUGUGUAGCCCAACUCUGCAGAAGAGAGAAGACCUAGACCUGGCACCCAGCACAGACACAGCCUGCCUCGAGGACUGCAAGGGAACAAGGGCCUCACCAGUAUCGGGCAGCUGGCCCUGGCGGAGGAAGGCGGCAGCCUGUGCAAAGGCCUUGAGCAGCGGGCUGAGCAGGCGGCAGAGGAAAAGAAAGAAAUCUGGGCAGUGUGACUGCUGGCUGAGCUGGAGGGGACAGGCCGGGGUGAGUGCAGCUCCCCACCGCCUCCCUACCACCUCCCUCCAGGGGCAGCUUUUUGAAACACACCCUGAAGUACCGGCCGUCAGCCUCUCCGAAGUCAUCACUGUCACUAUCAGUAAAGUCCCCACUCGGUUUCCACAGCA
rnacentral:lncRNA from 1 species